AUUGAACGCUGGCGGCAUGCCUAACACAUGCAAGUCGAACGAGUGGCGGACGGGUGAGUAAUGUCUGGGAAACUGCCUGAUGGAGGGGGAUAACUACUGGAAACGGUAGCUAAUACCGCAUACACUUAGAUGUGCCCAGAUGGGUUUAGCUUGUUGGUGGGGUAACGGCUAACACAGGGCACGAUCCCUAGCUGGUCGGAGAGGAUGACCAGCCACACUGGAACUGAGACACGGUCCAGACUCCGACGGGAGGCAGCAGUGGGGAAUAUUGGACAAUGGGCGCAAGCCUGAUGCAGCCAUGCCGCGUGUAUGAAGAAGGCCUUCGGGUUGUAAAGUACUUUCAGCGGGGAGGCGUUAUCCGCAGAAGAAGCACCGGCUAACUCCGUGCCAGCAGCCGCGGUAAUAC
rnacentral:rRNA from 1 species